GUCCUCGUCCGCCUCGGCAAAGCUGCCAGUGUCAACCUGAUAGUGGUCAAUCACUUCCUCUGUCAUCUCUGGCGCUGUGCACCAAAAAGAGGAUGUUAUGUUUCUGUAUCAUUACAGAAUUUAGAUUAGGAAGACCAGGUCUUUGAUGAUGUCAUUGGUAACGUGAAACCCUGUUCUAAAAGUAUACGAGGAAAAGAUAUGAGGGAAAAGGUAGGGCGGUUGUUACCUUCUGCGGCGCGUUUCUCUAGCUGUGCUGUGUAGAAGCCGUUAUGGUCAAGCCUGGCGAUGAUGUUCAGCAUCUGGUGCUCGCAGUCCGUGGUCGAGUAAUGGCUCAGUUUCUCAAGCAAGUCCAGCAGGUGUCGAGAGAAGUUCUUGUCGAAAUUCAUCACCGUCCGCUCGAAAUCUUCUCCGCUAAUCAUUUGGCUGAGAUGAUCCGCCUCGGCCUAAUGCAAUGAUUUCCAAGUUAGAUUAUGAAUGGUGAUUAACAAAAGCUAUUGUUGGUGGUCGUGAAUGAGUGUGAUGGUGAUGAUGGUUGAAGGUGCUGUUGUUGGUUGUGAUUGAGAGUGAGGGUACCAAAAGGUAGUGCUUUCAGCGGUUCAUUUACGCUCCUCAAUACAGGCUGAUAAAGUUAUUCGAGAAGACAUGGGACUUGGCCGCCAAAUGGUAAAUGAGAGAAAAAGGCGCCGCUGGGGGUCGAGGGGUCGAGUUACUCAUUUACCAGGUGGCGGCGGCGGUUACACAGCGCGUCGUUUGAAAGGCCGCAAGCUCAUAGGGACAGAGCUCGCUGCAGGAGCAAAACCAAGGCAAACACAUCCAGUUGAAGUAGGGAUACGUGCUUAUUCAACACUAACAAGACAUUAGACUGCAUUUCGGAGUCAAAUUAUCUUAUAGCCCGUGGCUGGCUUCUCAAAAUAAAGCCCUGCGCCUCCCUUAGUGGGCGCGGGAGGGUCAGACUCACCCGUGAGGCUGUUUUCCGUUUUUCCUCUUGGUCUGGAGGCGGACCUUUCUUGUUCAUGGGGCUCUGCCCCGGCGUGUCAUCAGGUGCAUCUGCGCUUGCACUCUGGGUAAAUCGCUAAUGAAAACGAAAGAGUCGUUUUAGAAGGCGUGAGACCCGAAGACUUUACUCCAUUGUCGCAGUUGAACAAAACGAUUGAGCUGAUAUGGAACAACUUCUGGGUUAUUCAGCUUACAUAGAGAAGAUCCAAUUUCAACCCAUUUUACCAAGCGUUGUGAUCUCACCUGCAUACAGUUGGUAAAUGUGACACACACCAGCAUCAUCUUGCUGACAUUCUAGCAAACACAAAUUAGAGUCAAAACAUUUAUCUAGUUAUCUGUUUGUAGACAAUUAAAAGCCUACAAUAAACCCUGA